GUCUGUAGGCUGUUUAAUAAGUCUGUUGUUAAAGACUAGGGCUCAACCCUAGAAAAGCAAUGGAAACUACUAGACUUGAGUAUGGCAGGGGUAGAGGGAAUUUCUAGUGUAGCGGUGAAAUGCGUAGAUAUUAGAAAGAACACCAGCGGCGAAAGCGCUCUACUGGACCAUUACUGACACUCAGAGACGAAAGCUAGGGUAGCAAAAGGGAUUAGAUACCCCUGUAGUCCUAGCCGUAAACGAUGGAUACUAGAUGUUGUGUUUAAUAUGCAGUAUCGUAGCUAACGCGUUAAGUAUCCCGCCUGGGGAGUACGCUCGCAAGGGUGAAACUCAAAGGAAUUGACGGGGGCCCGCACAAGCGGUGGAGCAUGUGGUUUAAUUCGAUGCAACGCGAAGAACCUUACCAGGACUUGACAUACUACAAAUUUCUUUGAAAAAAGGAAGUGCCUUCGGGAAUGUAGAUACAGGUGGUGCAUGGCUGUCGUCAGCUCGUGUCGUGAGAUGUUGGGUUAAGUCCCGCAACGAGCGCAACCCUUAUUUUUAGUUACUAAUUAAUUAGGUUUUCUAGAAAGACUGCCGGUGACAAACCGGAGGAAGGUGAGGAUGACGUCAAGUCAGCAUGCCCCUUAUGUCCUGGGCUACACACGUGCUACAAUGGUUAAAACAAAGGGUCGCGAGCUCGUGAGAGUCAGCUAAUCCCAUAAAUUUAGCCUAAGUUCAGAUUGUAGGCUGCAACUCG
rnacentral:rRNA from 1 species